UACGUAGGGGCCAAGCGUUGUCCGGAUUUAUUGGGCGUAAAGAGCUCGUAGGCGGUCUGUUGCGUCCGCUGUGAAAACUCGGGGCUUAACCCCGAGCCUGCAGUGGAUACGGGCAGACUAGAGGUAGGUAGGGGAGAAUGGAAUUCCCGGUGUAGCGGUGAAAUGCGUAGAUAUCGAGAGGAACACCUGCGGCGAAGGCGGGUUGCUGGGCUGAUACUGACGCUGAGGCGCGAAAGCUAGGGGAGCGAACGGG
rnacentral:rRNA from 1 species